AAAUUCUCAAAGCAAGUCUUUUGUUAAUUCAAUCGGCUCUGCUUUGGACUUGGGGGUCUGCAGAUUCACGUCUGCUCCUCUUAAAUGUAUUAGCUGGAUCUCCAUGAACUUGGUUCCACUCGGCGUGAUAAGUAUCACUCGCUGAGGACACCCGUAAAAAGGUGGCCAGGCUUGAGGAUGAGCCGCUUCUAAUAGUCCAUUGACUUGGACAAAUUAAAAAUUUAUG
rnacentral:misc_RNA from 1 species